rnacentral:rRNA from 1 species
CAACAGGGAUUGCCUUAGUAGCGGCGAGUGAAGCGGCAAAAGCUCAAAUUUGAAAUCUGGCACUUUCAGUGUCCGAGUUGUAAUUUGAAGAAGGUAUCUUUGGGUCUGGCUCUUGUCUAUGUUUCUUGGAACAGAACGUCACAGAGGGUGAGAAUCCCGUGCGAUGAGAUGUCCCAGACCUAUGUAAAGUUCCUUCGAAGAGUCGAGUUGUUUGGGAAUGCAGCUCUAAGUGGGUGGUAAAUUCCAUCUAAAGCUAAAUAUUGGCGAGAGACCGAUAGCGAACAAGUACAGUGAUGGAAAGAUGAAAAGAACUUUGAAAAGAGAGUGAAAAAGUACGUGAAAUUGUUGAAAGGGAAGGGCUUGAGAUCAGACUUGGUAUUUUGUAUGUUACUCUCUCGGGGGUGGCCUCUACAGUUUACCGGGCCAGCAUCAGUUUGAGCGGUAGGAUAAGUGCAAAGAAAUGUGGCACUGCUUCAGCAGUGUGUAAUAGUCUUUGUCGAUACUGCCAGCUUAGACUGAGGACUGCGGCUUCGGCCUACGAUUUUGGCAUAAUGAUCGU